rnacentral:rRNA from 1 species
CACUCUAGAGAGACUGCCAGGUAUAACCUGGCGGCCGGUGGGGAUGACGUCAAAUCAUCAUGCCCCUUAUGCUUAGCGCUACACCCGUGCUACAAUGGGUAGUACAGAGGGUUGCCAAGCCGUAAGGCGGAGCUAAUCCCUUAAAGCUACUCUCAGUUCGGAUUGUAGGCUGAAACUCGCCUACAUGAAGCUGGAGUUACUAGUAAUCGCAGAUCAGAAUGCGGCGGUGAAUGCGUUCCCGGGUCUUGUACACACCGCCCGUCACACCACGGGAGUUGGAGACGCCCGAAGCCGAUUAUCUAACCUUUUGGAAGAAGUCGUCGAAGGUGGAAUUAAUAACUGGGGUGAAGUCGUAACAAGGUAGCCGUAUCGGAAGGUGCGGCUGGAUCACCUCCUUUCUAAGGAGA